UAGGGAAUCUUCCACAAUGGACGCAAGUCUGAUGGAGCAACGCCGCGUGAGUGAAGAAGGCUUUCGGGUCGUAAAACUCUGUUAUUGAAGAAGAACGUGCGUGACAGUAACUGGUCAUGCAGUGACGGUAUUCAAUCAGAAAGUCACGGCUAACUACGUGCCAGCAGCCGCGGUAAUACGUAGGUGGCAAGCGUUGUCCGGAUUUAUUGGGCGUAAAGCGAGUGCAGGCGGUCUUUUAAGUCUGAUGUGAAAGCCUUCGGCUUAACCGAAGAAGGGCAUCGGAAACUGGGAGACUUGAGUGCAGAAGAGGAGAGUGGAACUCCAUGUGUAGCGGUGAAAUGCGUAGAUAUAUGGAAGAACACCAGUGGCGAAGGCGGC
rnacentral:rRNA from 1 species